GGAUGUGAGGGCGAUCUGGCUGCGACAUCUGUCACCCAUUGAUCGCCAGGGUUGAUUCGGCUGAUCUGGCUGGCUAGGUGGGUGUCCCCUUCCUCCCUCACCGCUCCAUGUGCGUCCCUCCCUAAGCUGCGCGCUCAGUCGAAGAGGACGACCUUCCCCGAUAGAGGAGGACCGUUCUUCGGUCAAGGGUAUACGAGUAGCUGCGCUCCCCUGCUAGAACCUCCAAACAAGCUCUCAAGGUCCAUUUGUAGGAGAACGUAGGGUAGUCAAGCUUCCAAGACUCCAGACACAUCCAAAUGAGGCGCUGCACGUGGCAGUCUGCCUUUCUUU
rnacentral:snRNA from 1 species